AGACCGGAUUUGUCGAAGCAGGAAGAGGGAGAAGAAAGAAGAAAACAAAUGUGUUGUUGUUGGUGGUCACAUAUGAAGACCAGCUGUCGAGAUGAAACGGACAGUCAUCUGCACAGUCCACAGAUGAGCAGCAGUGUAAGCUUUGACAGCUUAUUGCCCAAUAACCAGAGGCAUCCUACCUGGCUAGCACCUGCACUCUUGUAACCCCACAGGCGCGCAGUCAACACGUCACCGGUGGGGCAGGUGUCGCAUUGAACCCACUGAAGAGUUAAUUAUGACAUCAGCGAAUAGGCUUCAGCCCUUCAUCUACAUGGGAUACAAAGUCUACUGAAGGCCAUCAUCAAAGAACAACGGGUCAGGAGAUCGUUGUACCACAGUAAUGGCGACUACAGCAGUGAGAUGAGAUUUCUUCAUUUCUCUCCCCAUCCUCCGACCUUGCUUGUCCAGGAGCCCCACCCCAGCCCACCCCACUCCCUGUCUGACGACAUGUUGCCUAUCUGUUUUCUCGCCUCGUGUUUCAACUGUCAUCUUAGAGGCGAAUAAACACUUGUCCGCCUAACAAGCUCGUCAGGCGACAGAUGCCCCAGCAGCCACCAGCAAGACACUGAGGUGUCUGUACCGCAAAAAUGAUGAUGAGUUUAUGAUCUUAUAUGCUGCCGCAAGGUCUUCCCAGCGAGUCAUCGAGCGCCAUCUGUCGUCAAAGGGCGGUAAUAUGCUGGGCUGAUCGAUGCGAGAAAAUUUAUGAAAUGUUUCGCGUAAAAUGUUGUUCACCUUACUCGUCCACGUGCUAAGGGGGUCGUGGCUGACUGGCCAAACUACACAUUCGACAGCAUUGCAACCAUCUUGACCUGGCAAAGUUAUGACCCCACGAACUGACAAGACUUGUUCAACACUCGUGAACGCUCUCCAACCCCCUUCUUGGUCUUAUUAACCCUUACUUUAAUUAGUCUUUUCCUAUCCACUCUCUGAUUCCACUAUCUUUAAAGUGUUAACAAUCAACAAUCCAUCUCCUGUGUCACUUUUUGCAAACUGGCUCAGUCCACGAGACUUGCAUGCAUUCAAUACACGCGAUACAGACUUUUUUUCCCUCUGAUAUCCUUUGUCUAAAGUUUGAAAACAUGGGUUGUGUCAGUCCAAGCUAAAAUUCUUGUUGUUAAAAUGAUAAAAUUGACUGAUUAUGUUUCAUAUAAUGAAUAAAUAAAUAUUUUCAUUCAAUGUUGUUGUCUGUGUGUUUAUUGAUACGAAACAGUUAUAUAUUAUACAAGUUUUUAGCAGCACAGUUCUUAGAGUCUCUUUUGUUUAAUAACUGAGUAAAAUGUCUCUGUGAUUGUUUGCCAUUUUGCAUAUUUUUUCACCACAGUCUGCAGAAUGUCAUUGUUUUAUAUAUUUUUGGAUACUGUGUAUAGUUAAAAUGUUCUUUGGGAUCACAUCCACCAAAUAAAAUUAAAUAGUUCCUCUCAGCUUGACUUUUGUUUUUUUUUAACCUUUUUAUUUCCACUAGUCCUGCAUAUUCCUACAUCUGCUUUGCUUUGCUUCUCAGGACACAUACACCAUCUAUAUUCGCUCACAG
rnacentral:lncRNA from 1 species